GAUGAACGCUGGCUACAGGCUUAACACAUGCAAGUCGAGGGGAAACGACGGGGAAGCUUGCUUCCCCGGGCGUCGACCGGCGCACGGGUGAGUAACGCGUAUCCAACCUGCCUCUGACUGAGGGAUAACCCGUCGAAAGUCGGCCUAAUACCUCAUGGCAUCGUCUGCGGGCAUCCAACGACGAUUAAAGAUUUCAUCGGUCAUGGAUGGGGAUGCGUCUGAUUAGCUUGUUGGCGGGGUAACGGCCCACCAAGGCUACGAUCAGUAGGGGUUCUGAGAGGAAGGUCCCCCACAUUGGAAAUGCGACACGGUCCAAAAUCGUACGGGAGGCAGCAGUGAGGAAUAUUGGUCAAUGGGCGGGAGCCUGAACCAGCCAAGUAGCGUGCAGGAUGACGGCCCUAUGGGUUGUAAACUGCUUUUAUGCGGGGAUAAAGUGGGGGACGUGUCCUUCAUUGCAGGUACCGAAUGAAUAAGGACCGGCUAAUUCCGUG
rnacentral:rRNA from 1 species